rnacentral:snRNA from 1 species
GUUCUUGCUUCGGCAGAACAUAUACUAAAAUUGGAGCGAUACAGAGAAGAUUAGCAUGGAACAUUACAAAAACAUCAAAGUUUUAUUGAAGCUAUUU